ensembl:lncRNA
CCUCAUUUAAGGACUGACAGCCACUCUUGAAGGAGCUCUGGUUGCAGUUUUCUCUUUUGUGGACUUUUCCCUGUGAGCCUAUAUCUUUAGAGACAGAAUGAAGGCUUGUGUAACAAGAGGCCCUUGGAGGAUAGAGAAAGACCUUGUCCCUGCUUCAGGCUGUGAAGGGUAGUACUUGAAGAAUGCAAAUUAUUAACAUCUGCAUGAUGUGGAGGCUCAGACUUUUCAGAGGAGAGGGAUGGGAGACCGAUGUAUUCAUAUGCAAUAGAAUCCUUCCCUCACAUGGCACAAGCUUGAACACAAUUGCAGCCCUCAUGCAGGCUGUGUUUGUGGAGGUGCCUGAAAGUAGAGAUAAAAACCUCCUGUGCUUUGUCUCUUUGAGGACAAGAGAUAAAUAGGUGAAUGAUGUCACUCCUCUUCUGUGACAGGUAACCACAUUCCUCUUUAUAAUACUGUCAAUCUCAUCUUAAAGGUAAGUAGAGUUCUUAUCCUAGUGACUCAGCUCAGUUGCCUGUGCUGGAGCUUCUAAUUGAUGACAGUACAUUCCAUUUUGCAUGCUUUUAUCAGCAUUUAAGAGGGUGGGUUUUCCAUGCACCAAAGGACUGGAAACUUGCUACUAUAACAGGAUCAAGAUGUCCAGGUAUUCUUCCAACAGCAUCAAGGACUUCUUGCUAUCAUGCAUUUCUGAUUUUAUGUUUUACAGAAGCUCCAGUUAUAUGAAGAUAGUUCUAUGGAUCAAUAUGAUAAUAGUUUAGAAGUAAAUCUGUCUUUCUGUAGUAGCCAGAAACACCACCUUUUUCAUACCUCCUCCAUCUCCCAAGCCAGAAGCACCAUGAGACUUUCAGUGAAAUCCUGGGAAUGGCAAGGCUAGCACCAGAGGUGACCAGAAGUUUUGGAAUUUAAAUCCAGUAACUGUGUCUGUUAAUCUUGUAUUGGUUACAAAAAUAAAUUCCCUAAUUGAGGUGCCAUUGUCAAACCUGGAAUUCAUCAGCUCCCCCUGCAGCAGCUGGUAGGCAUUCUUUUCCAACGUAGAAAGCACCACACUGACUAUGGCAUGCCCUGGGCUCCUCUACAGUGAUGUCUCUUACAAACAUCUCCAGUGCUAAGCAAGCAGGGUGACAGUAAAGUGCUCUCUUCCUGCAGGACUCCCGUAUCAAGUACAUAAAAAAAACCAUAGUGUGUGAAAACAAUGAAAUAGCUAUAUUUAGUCAUUUCUAACUUGAAAUAGAGCUUCUGCUUGAAAUGAGUUUACUAUGAGGUCCGGUAAAAAUCAUAGAAUCAUAGAAUGGCUUGGGUUUGAAGGGACCUCAAAGAUCAUCUAAUUCCACCCUCCUGCCAUGGGCAGGGUUGUCAACCACUAAAUCAGGUGCUAGAUCAGUCUGCUCAAGGUCCCAUCCAACCUGGCUUUGAACACCUCCAGGGAUGGGACAUCCACAAGUUCUCUGGGAAACCUGUUCCAUCAUAUCACCAACCUCUGACUGAAAAAUGUUCCACCUAACAUGUAGCCCAAAUCUCUCCUCUUUUAGUUUAAAACUGUUCCUCCUUGUCCUAUCACUAUUGGACCGUGGAAAAAGUUGGUGUCCCUCCUGUUUAUAGGUUCUGCUCAAGUACUGGAUGGCCGCAGUGAGGUUUACUCAGAGCCUUCUCAUCUCCAGACUGAACAAGGCUCCUUCAACCUUUCUUCAUAGGAGAGGUGUUCCAGCCUUCUUUGUGGCCCUCCUCUGGAACUGCUCCAACAACUCCUUAUCUUUCUUAUGCUGGGAACCUCAGAUGCAGUACUCCAGAUGAGGCAUCACAAGGUCGGAGUAGAGGGGGACAAAAACCCCUCUUCUUGUGAACUCUGGCCACUCCUCUUCUGAUGCAGCCCAAGAUGUAGUUGGCCUUCCAGGCUGCAAGCACACACAGCUGGCUCAUGUCCAGCUUUUAAUCCACCAGAACCCCCAAGUCCUUCUCUGCAGGGCUGCUCUCAAUUAGUUCUUCUCCCAGUCUGCACACGUCUGGAAUUGCUGUGACUUAAGUGCAAAACCUUGCACUUCACCCUACUGAACCUCGGUAUGUUCAUGUGGGCUCACUUCUCAAGCUUAUCCAGGUCCUUCUAGAUGGCAUCCCUCCCUUCUAUUAUAUCAACUACAUCACUUAGCUAGGUGUCGUCAGCAAACUUGCUGAGGGUGCACUUGUUCCCACUGUCUAGGUCACUGAUAAAGAUGUUAAAGAGCACCUGUCCUAAGACUGACAGACAUGACUUUUCAAAUAGGAUGAAGAGUGGCUUGGCAUUACAUCAGCCACUUCCACUGGAACUCUGGGAUGCAUGUUGUCCAGCCCAAUAGGCUUGUACAUAUUCAGUCUCAUGAGACAGUCUUGGACUUCCUCUUCUCUUACAAUGAGAGGGUUUUGCUCCUCCAGCCCCUGCCUGGAGGUUCAGUGUCAUGAAAUAUGUGGGAAGCCUGACUCUCAGUGAAGACCAAGGCAGAGAACUUGUUAAGUAUCUCAGUCUUCUCCAUGUCUGUUGUAGCCAGUUCUCAUUAAUCAGAGAGGGUAUAUUCUCCUUGAUCUGUGUCUUCUGACUAGUGUACCUGUAGAAUCCCUUCUUGUGAUUUUUCACAUCCCUCACCAAAUUCAGUUCUAUGUUUCUUUUGAAAUUGUUCCUAAGCAGGAAGAGGAGAUUCAUAGAGGAUUUAGGAAAACACAUCUUCAUGUUUCAGAAUCUUUAGGCAUUUCACUGAAAUACAGAAAUGUCUGUAACAUAAUGCAUUCUGCACAACUUAUUCUUCUAAGGCAACAUAUGAUAAAUUCUACUAUAAAGCCGUAGAAAUGAUACACGAAGCUUUCUAGGAUUUACAUGUUGCUUUGCCUUUUCAAUAACUUCUCUAAAACCCCAUGUAUCAUAGUCUAAUGAUGAUCUAUAACUAACAGUGGAGAAAAGGCAUGUGAGACAUUGAGAAUUACAUUGUCAUAAUGUGGCAUAUCUAUUUCAUUCAUAUUUCAUUUAUGUAGUUCAGGCUUUAGUUUUCAAUCCAAAAAUAAGAACUGGAAUAAAUUCAAUGAGGAAUCAAAGAAAUCCCACCAAAUGACCAAAAUAUUUCCCAAAUUCCUAUUUUCAUUAUUCAUAUUUCAAGGAAUUAAGUAUUGUUGUAGUGCAAGAAAUAACUGUACUCUACUCUUAGGGUUAUGAAAUGGAUAAGCUAUUAGGAAUUUUCUAUUUCUAACUGAUUGUGAUCUCACAUCAGUAUACCUCUGCUCACUUUUAAGGAAUUACCUCAGAAUUACUCUUAUGACAAAGGAGAGCAGGCUCCUGCAAUUCUAUAACUACUCAUACUAAGCUGUUCACACAUGCCUCCCAGAGUAAGGGCUUUCAAGAGAAUAUUGUGGAAAUUAGAUUCCAGUUUUCAUCACUUCAUUUAAUCACUUACUUUGGCCUACUGAUCACUUCUGCUGCUGUGCAUGUGUUUGUCCUUGUAAGUGAGGUCAGACUUCUGGAGAAAGGAAAUGUCCUCUUCAAAGCCAGCUGAUAUUGCUUCAAGAAAAAAGAAUUUAUUGAGCACUCCACUACAUACAAAUGCCUCCUGUAUAUUUACAUGGAAACUAAAACAGAGAGCACAACAACACUAUUUGAUAAAUUCUCAACUACAGAACACUAUUUUUCAACAUAAUCACUACCAUUAACUACGCAUUUUCGGCCGCAAUGAACAAUAGCCUACACACCACCCUUGUAAAAAUUUGAACCAGUGGAGGUGACCCACUGUUUUCUAGCUGCUCUGCUAGGAAAAUGUUGCCAGUGCACUCUUCCUUUUAUCAGCCCAAACUGAUGAAAGUCAGAUGACACCACAUAUGGACCACACGGUGAGUGUGGUAGGACAGUCCAGCCAAUGUGCUCGGUGGUCUUCAAACUGGUAUGGAGCCUGGUGUUACUGUGUUGCAAGAGAUACCUUAUCUUAUUCUCUGACCUGACUCUGGAAGUUCAAGUCUUCAGCUUAGUGUCAUGAUACAGUGGUCAGAGUUAAUGGUUAGGCUGAAUUCCAGGAAAUCCAGAAGGAUCACCCCUUUCCUAUCCCAAAAGACAGUGCACAUCACUUUAACCUGUCUUGAAUAUUUUUUUCAGUGGGGAAUUCAUGUUGCUAGUCCAUGGAUUGCUGUUUUGACUCCAGCUCAUAGUGGCAACACCACAUCUCAUUACCAGUAGUGAUGCAAUCCAAGAAACUGUUACCUUCAUCCUCAUAUUGGUUCAAUAGGUCCUGAUAAAUUUGUUUAUGGUGUUCUUUCUGUCACUGUGUGAGCAUUUUUGGGACCCAAGUGGCUCAAACGUGGCAAUGUUUCAUUGUUACUACCAUUAUUUCCAACACACUGAAGCUGCAUGAUAGCUCCAUACACAGUUCCCUGCUCAUAAGCUGCCAAUAUGCAUGGACAAACUGAUCAAGAUGCUCUUCAUUUCAUGGUAUGGCAGCUGUGCAUGGCCAUUCAUUUGCACGUGGCUUGUCUUUCACAUCUCUGUCACCACUGUUGAAAUUCAUCACUCACCACCUCACUGUGCUAGUAUCCACUGUUUGGUCUCUAUAAGCAUUCAGCAAGUGUCAAUGAAUGUCAAUGAGUGCAAUUUUUUUGCAUCGAGGAAUUCAGUGACACAUCUUUACUUCAUACGUACUUCCAUGUCAGACACCAUGUUAUCAGACAGCCCUUCUGCUGCCAUCUGUUGCAUGGCAACAAAAUUUAAUGACAUUUUUUAAUGAAAUAUUUGAGGGAAGUUCAAACCACCAACAUCUGCUUCUGACCUCGUGGGCCAGCAUAAUAAGAAGAAUUACUUGAAGAGCAGCCCUUGUAAUUCUAAUCUUUCCUAAGACAAAGUUUUACUCCUAAUUAAAUUUGUUGUUGUUGUUAUUGGUUAUAGUUUCUAAGGAAAGGUGGAUUGUAGUUAAAAGAUCAUAAGCCAGAUCUUAAUUUUUUCUCCUGUCAAGAGGAAACUAACUCUUACCUAGAUGCUAUGACAAUUCAUUUUUUAAGAUUCGUAGGAAUACUCUAAGGCUCUCACUUCAAAUAUGACAUAUGGUUCUCAUCCACUAAGUAUGUAAGUUUUGUACUUAGCUCUAAGUGCUGGGAAUAGUCUCACUGAGGUGAUGAGUGUGCUUAUGUCCUUUCAGGCAUUGUGAUCGUUUUGUGCACCUUCUUCUUCUGUUAUGGAUUCCCUGAAAAAGUCACGAGUAUUUGCCACUCCGCUCUUCCCUUGUGCUCCUUUUGCCCUAUCUCAAAACGAACUUCUUAAAUGUUUUAACAGAGUUGCUAAGCUGAGAAGUGGUGUUCAGCAGUUCCUUGGCUGCACUUUGUGCACAGGGAAACACAGCAGAAGGGGCUGAAAGGUCUGAAGGUCAUUCUCACUAGCUCAUUCCUAUACAGUACAGUUAGCAUAUAAAUGACUUGCAGUAUGUAGGCCAUACAGUCAGGCACAGAAUAAUGUAGGUCAACAGAGAUCUCUGAAGUCUGGCACAUAGCGCAGGGCUAAUUCCAGUUCUAGAAAAAAGUUAUCAGGGUCUUCUCUAGUCAAGUUCUAAAUAUCCCAAUAUUUGUAUAUUAUGUACUAGUAAGUGCCAAACCAAUUAUCUCUAAUGAAAUGCAAUAGAGAUGAGCUUGAGGUUUGGAAUCAGCUAUGGUUCAGGGCUGGAGUCAGAUUUCAGAUGAUCUUAAGAUUCAGGGAUUUAGCACUGCCACCUUGGCCUUUUUAUCUAAGGAUCUCUUAUAUUACUUUAAAUGGAAAGUAGCAGUUUAACCAAUCUAGUCUGACAGAGCUGAAUCCAGCAUUUAUUAGUAUACACAGAAGAAAAGAAGUAGCUUCUGCAGUCUCUUGAUUAACUGAGCAUAAAAUGAACCACCCACACCUUUGUGUUUUAAUUAGAUGUGGAUGAAUUUGUUCAAACCACAGUUGAUGUACUGACUCCUCUACAAGUACAUUAACCACUAAGUUUUAUUUUUUCCCUGAGAAAAUCAAUUUUUCCUGAAUGGGAAUGGAAUUCAGAAGCGCUCUCAUAGUGUUUCCGUAGCCCGGAGCUUUCUGAGACACAGCUGUUACUUGGCUGUAACUUCAACUGCAAUGGCUGGUUGAACACAGACGUAGUAUUUGGUCGUUCGAUUCACUUACUGACAUAGGGGAAAGGAGAGCAGCUUGCGGUGUGGCGUGUAGAGGUGCCAGCCCGCAGGUGGGGCAUCGCUGCCCUCUGCUGGAUGCUGCCGUCCGGCGGGCUUCUUCCUCCUUUUCCUCUCACCCCCUGGGAUGGGGAUGCAACUUUGCCUCUUUUUAAUUGAGCAGAGAAAUUAUUUAUGUGUGUAUUUGCUGCAGAGGAACAGCUGCACUACAAUUUUAUCUGUGUUCCUUGAAAUUUAUUUAUGUGUCUUAAAAGUCUGUCUCAGGUGAGCUCUGAUUUCAUACCUCUGAACGCUUUGAUUUGUUUGCUGUGAAUACCUUACAACAUCACUCCUACUGAUGCUCUUGCAGAAGUUGAAGUAUGUGUAUGACAAGAGCUCAUGGAUCCAUCUUGAAUUUGAGAGAUGUGCAGGCUGGAACCAUAUCCUGCAUCACCUCCUAUCAUCUGACGAGCAAUCAUGCAGUGGGAAUAUGCAGGGGAAAUAGUGAAGUUAAGAGAGGGCACUGAAAGCAAAUGAUGUGGCAAACACUGAAAGCAAAUGAUGUUGCAAACACCUUGAGAGAGAUCUGAAGACAACUAUCCAUAAACUGUCUUCAUGGCACCUCAAGCAAAAAAAAGUAUGAAAAUCUCUAUCAUCAGAAUGUUGCCUGCGUAAGAAAGAUGUGGUAUUUAGAAACUGCAGGGAAGGUAAACCAUCUUACUUUGAACAUGGGCAGUUGUGUUGAGGUAAAAGAUCUUCAUAUUUUUUAUGAAGUUCUUUGUGGAUAAAGACAUCUACUGAGGUCUUAGGCAUCUCUGUAGAGAUUCAGAUGUGCUUGAUAGCAGUGCAAAUUUGAUGGUCUUUUUUAAAUGAGGCAUUAUGCCUGUACCAGAUAGGUAUUGAGUAACCUGACGAAAAAAGAAGCAGAUGUGACACCAGUAACAGAUUUACCUUUGUCACAUCCCAAGGCCCCAACUUCAAGUUCAAGUAAAUUAUCAGUAAGACCCAUUUUAACUCCCAUAGGAAAUCACCUGCCCCAUGGUGAGACCAAAGGCCAGCAGCUACAUUUGGGAAACUGAUGAGACUACUGCAAGCUCAUCAUGGAAUGCUCUCAUUACAGAGGACAUUGCAAAGGCAGGACUGUAAGCGGCUUUGCCUUGGUGCCGGCACUGACUGUGACAGUGGAGGGGGCAGGGUAACAGUGGGUUAAGAGAGCUAUUGGAGUGCAUGGCAUGUAGAAUUUCACUCUUGAUGUUCCUGCUCCAAGUGAGGCUCAUUCAGGCUCUUGUGGCCAAGUCACCUCUCUGAUCCAACUUUUUCUGUGUAGACAGAUGAAAAAUGUGCCAUGUCACUCACUGAAUCCCAACAGAAAUCUCACCUAAGUGUUUUAAAAGCACAUGAAACUCGUGUCAUUGAAGUAAAAUUUAAAAAUCGUCAGUCUUCUAGAUAAACCUGCCCGAACAUGCCCACAUAAUUAGUGAACAAACAUGAGGGAGAGAUAGAACCUUGACAUGGAGUUUGUAUCAUAAGUAAUGUGAAAACUAAAUUCAGCCUGACUGACCCCAGGGAGAUAAAAACAAAAUAGAUGUGAGCUUCUGUUGUGAUAUAGCAGAAGGAAAUAAAUGUAACAUAGGGCUUUAUCUGGUGGGCCAAGUGAGAAAACGCAGAGUGGGGAAAUGGGCAGAUCUCUGAAAGGCACCAGAAUGCUUCAUUAUAGCAGGAUUUGUGAGCAGCCAUGGACUCCUUCUUUAGCAAGGGACUUCUGUGUACAAUAAAUUUGAAUACUUCAGACUUCAGGGGACUUGGGACAUAUAUGAAAAGCAGAGGAAUUUGAGGCCAUUUAGGCACAUGUAGGUAUCUGGAAUACCUUUAAAAAAUCUACCCUGGCAGUUGAGUGAGUGUAUACAUAUCUGUUCUUUAAGAUAAAACCAUAGAGUCCAACAGAGGAACUAUCUGUAGCAUGGCUGUUUAGCAUCAGUUUGGGAGAAGGCAGAGAAAAUAUGAUAUGCCAAGUUCUGAUCUCAGUUUUUACAGUUUUUGUAUAGAAUAGCAAACCACUUAAUUUUGUGCUUAAGACAAAGCACAAUAUAAAGGCAUACAAACAAGCUCUGCACUUGCGGUUCUUCCAUAUUGAAGGCAGGGUGGCAGAAAACUCUUAAGAUGUAUAAGGUGGCACUCAAUGAGUCACAGAAAGGAAUUUUGGAACAUUUUUUCUUGCGGAUGUAGUGAACAAAUUAAACUUUCCUAAAGAUCCCUACCUCUUUUUAAAUACUCCGUGGGUCCUACAUCAGUAAUUUAAUCCUCCUAAGUGUCAGUUAUCUUAACUGUGAAAUAUGCAAAAAUGUUAAUUCUCCAAGUGUUGUCACUGGAUAAUGAAACAGCUCUUUGAACAGAAGAUACCAUAAAAGCUUAUUAUUUUAAAUAAUAGGUAUGUAUUCCUUCUUAAUGGUGAAUUAAAUGUAAUUGCUUUGCCUAAGGAAAAAACAAACCAACUUGUUCUGCUGAUAUAUUUCACUUACUGUUAAAGAACAACUGUCUGUGUAAAGCCUGAUUCCCUCAGGUGCAGAUUUAUGACAGCAGUGACUGCUGGGAUUAAGUAUCCUUGUAUAUUUGGCCCCAUGGCUUGCCUCAGUACCUGGAACACCUCUGGGAAGAAAGCUGUACGUGGCUGAGUUAAGUCACACUGUUCUGUUAUGAAUUACUCAGAACUGGAUUCUGAAAAAUAGAUAAUGUUAUCUGAAAUCUAGUCUUUUUCCUGUCUGUUAAUUUGAGACCAGUGAGUAUUGCAUUAGAAUUGCACUAGUGGUGUCUAUUGAGUUUGGACUUGUAAACUGCUUUUUAAAGUUAGGCAAACUUCUAUGAAUUAUUAAUGUCUGUGUCUUUCCCUUACUCCAGAGCCUUGUUUAACUGUCUAUGAAAUUGGUUAACAAUGGAGAAAGUAAAAUACAGUCUCUGGAAUAUUCACUGAAAGGAAAUGCUUUUGGAGUGACACAGAUCUCCAAAAUAAUUUCCCAUUAAAUGCUAUAAACAUUUAUUUCAAUAUUUAUUUAGCAUUAUCACUAUCACUGCAAGAAACCCCAAAGUUUAAGGAUCACAAUGGCAUUUUACUGUCUCUCACCUUUAUCGUACCAUACCUAGCAGCUGCAUAACAUUAUGUAGACAUUAUUCAAUGAAACACAAUAGCAAUGGCAUAAGAUAGAUAAAUAUUACUCUUAUUACAAAGCCAAGAAAACAGAGGCAAAAAUAUAACAACUGACAAGGUCACAGGAGUCAAUGUAUUAUUUUAUAGUAAAUAAAUACUUUCUUCUCAACUCUUUGAUACACAAGGUACAUCUCAUGAUAACAAACUGCUAUUCUUUGAGGCCAGUGCCCAGGAUGGCUUCCUAACAGCAGCCAGACAGCAACAGUGGAGAAACUACUUGCAGUGAUCCAAAUGUCAUUGUAGUAGUCAUGUUGACCAUGGAUGUCUUCUAGACAUCUCUUCUGUUAGAGAGGAUCCAGAGGAGGGCCACAAAGAUAAUUAUAGAGCUGGAGCACCUCCCCUACAAAGACAGGCUGAGGGAGCUGGGCUUGUUCAGCCUGGAGAACAGAAGGCUGCAGGGUGACCUCAUUGCAGCCUUCCAGUACCAAGAAAGCUAACAAACAGGAGGGGAGUCAACUCUUUACAAGGGUAGAUAAUGGAAGGACAGGGGGAAAUGGUUUUAAGUUGAAGGAGGGAAGAUUUAGAUUGGUUAUUGGGGAAGUUCUUUACUGUGAGAGUGGUGAAGUGCUGGAACAGGCUGCCCAGAGAGAUUGUGGAUGCCCCAUCCCUGGAGGUGUUCAAGGCCAGGUUGGAUGGGGCUUUGGGCAGCCUGGUCUAGUAUUAAAUGUGGAGGUUGGUGGCCCUGCCUGUGGCAGGGGGGUGGAUCUUGAUGAUCCUUGAGGUCCCUUCCAACCCAAGCCAUUCUAUGAUUCUGUGUCCCUCAGUACAACAUCUGAAUGUUUCUUGAACACCUGCAGGGAUGGUGACUCCACCAAUUCCCUGGUCCUUUCAUUCCAGUGUCUAAUUACUCUUUCAGCAAAGAAGUAUUUCCUAACACCCAACUUGACCCUCCCCUGGAGCAACUUGAGGCCAUUCUCUCUAGUCCUAUUGCUAGUUACAUGGGAGAAGAGGCUGCCCCUCACCUUGGCACAACCUCCUUUCAGGUAGUUGUAGAGAGCAAUAAGGUCUCCCCUGAGCCUCAUCCAGUCUAAACAAUUCCAGUUUCCUCAGCUGCUCCUCAUAAGACUAAAUAAUAUUAAAAUGUCCUUUCUUUGAAAUAUCUUUAAAUGGAUCAAGGGGGAGAACAUUACCCCCUAGAUAAAACUAUUCCUGGACAUAUCCCAGGAUUUCUGGGAUCACCCUACUACAGGCUUGCAGUUAUAAGUGAGAAAUGGGGUCCUCUGUGAGUUAGCGAAAAUAUUUCUUCCCUGUCCCACAUGGCACCAGCUAACCUCAUCCACCAUGGCAUGGCCAUUAUUGAAUACUUUAAAUCAAGCAGAACUAUCAAACAAUACUUCAGAAAAUGAAAAUCAACUACUACAAGAUCAUACUGAAAAAUUAGAACAACUUGGCACAUUAACAGGAGAUAAAUCAAGCCUAAUUUUCCCUAUAAAACAGCUCCACAACAUUACAUUAAAAAAUAUCCAGGCUCCUAAAUCAAUGGACCUGGAUGAUUCAGAAAACAAAACUUCAAGGUUGGAUCUUGAAGCUCCAUCUGAAAUGGGUCCCUUUGAGAUCCAACGUAUAAUAGCUCAGAAAACAAAGAAAAUACAGGAUAGACCAGCAGGGGUGCCCCCUGAUCAAUGGCUCCUUGCCCAAACUCAUUUGCAUGUAGCAGCUCACCCUUAUACAGCAACAGAAUGAACGGACUUACUACAGCGAUUCCAGCAGAAGCCUAGAGAAAGUAUACCAGCCUGGCUUCUAAGGUUAUGGGACUCACGGACAGAAAGUGUUGUGGUUAAUGGACCAGAAAUUUCUAAGUUGGCAUUCAUCACCUUAGACCCUGCCCUCAGACAAAGAUUAUAUGCCACCAUUCAACAUCUGGAUGAAAACCAUUCAUUAAUAGAUUAUAAGACCUGCACAUAGCCCAUAUAAUUCCCCCAUAUGGCCAGUGCAAAAGUCAGAUGGCACGUGGAGAAUGACAAUAGAUUAUAGAGAAUUAAAUAAGGUCACACUGCCUGUUCAUGCAGCCAUACCCAAUAUUGCCUUUCUAACAGACAUAUUGAGUAGGGAAAUAAAAACCUACCAUUGUGUCCUAGACUUGGCAAAUGCAUCCUUCAGUAUUACAAUUGCUGAAGAAUUGCAAGACCAGUUUGCAUUUACAUGGGGAGACAGGCAAUGGACCUUUCAGGUACUGCCAUAGGUGUAUGUACAUUCACCAACCUGGCAAACUGGGGAAAAAAAAAUUAAUAAUGUUAGCUUGUAUCACUGUACUGAUGAUCUCCUGUUGACUUCUGACUCACUGGAGGCAGUUGGACAAGGGGCACAUUCAUUGACUACCUAUCUGCAAGAAGCAAGGUCUGGGCCAGUCUGUGAAAUUCCUGGGGGUAAUUUGGUCAGGAAGGACCAAAGGACUACCCAGUGCUGUCAUAGAUAAGGUUCAGGCAUUCCCAGUCCCUACAACACCACAGCAGCUGCAGGAGUUCUUAGGUAUAUUGGGAUAUUGGCGUUUCUUUGUACCUCAUUUAGCACAGCUGCUGAGACCAUUAUACAAACUCACAAAGAAGGGGCAACUAUGGGACUGGGGGAGAAUGGAACAGGAGGCUUUCCAACAGGCAAAACUGGCUGUUAAACAGGCCCAGGCAUUGGGUAUAUUUGAUCCUACCCUCCCAGCUAGGUUGGAUGUUCAUGUCACUCAGGAUGGGUUUGGCUGGGGCCUGUGGCAAUGCCAAGUUUCUGCUUAGACCACCACUGAGUUCUGGUUUCAGGUCUGGCAUGGAGCAGAAGAAAGAUACUGUGUGAUUGAAAAACAGUUAUUGGCUGCUUAUUCCGCAUUAUGGGUGGUAGAGCUAAUAACCCAAAGAGCUGAGGUCAUAGUUUAUUCAACCAUGUCAGCCAUGUUUGGCUGCCAAUUCAGGGGUGAGUGAAAGAUCUGACUCGUCUUCCUAAGACAGGAGGUGGCCCAAGCACAAACGGUGGCAUGAUGGGUUACCAAUCUCAACCAGAGGAGUAGUCUGUCUUCAUCACCACUGAAAGAAGAACUUCCAUAGAUCUUAGACCCAGUGACAUAUCACAGUGAUGCACUGAAAAAAAACAUUGGUUGAUCCACCUGAGAGGAGUCCCAAUCAGGAGGGGAAAUAUCCCUUUCCUGAAGAUGCCUGGUAUAUGGAUGGAUCCAGCGAGGGCAACCUGAGCAAGUGGAGAGUGGUAGCAUACCAUCCCUCCACUGAAACAAUCUGGUUUGAACAGAGGGAUGGUCAGAGUAGCCAAUGGGCAGAACUGCGAGCUGUGUGGAUGGUUAUAACCAAGGAACCUGGUGAAAGUAUCCUGCACAGAUAGCUGGGCUGUGUACUGGGAGCUCACUCUUUGGAUUGCACAGUGGGCCACCCAGGACUAUCCACGCCUGACAAAUUUGGGGCAGAGAUACGUGGUUAGACAUACGGAAUGUGGUUAAACACAGGACCAUACAUGUCUACCACAUUUCUGGUCACCAACACCUACAGUCACCGGGAAAUGAUGAAGUCAACACACUGGCCCAAGUCCGAUGGAUUGAGAAUUCACCAUCUGAGAACAUUGCCCACUGGCUACAUCAGAAGCUGUGGCAUGCUGGACAAAAGAUAAUGUGGGCAGCUGCUAAAGCAUGGGGGCUGCCCAUACAACUGGCAUUGCCCUGGCAUGUCAAGACUGCGACGCUUGCUCCAAGAUGAGACUGAGAUUGUUGCCUGAAAUAACAGUUCAUCUUGCUAGAGGACACAAUCCUCUCCAAUGAUGGCAGGUCAGUUACACUGGGACCCUCCCUCAGUCUGAAGGGGUGAGAUGUGCCCUGACCUGCGUUGACACCACAAGUGGGCUAAUGCAGGCCUAUCCAGUGCCAAGCAAGAAUGAACCAGGCAUAUACCAUCAAGGUGCUCACCAAGUUGAUGAUCACCUACGGGACACCUCAACUUACCAAGAGCGACCAAGGGACUCAUUUUACUGGCACUAUGAUACAACGCUGGGCAGAAGAAAACAACAUUGAACAGCGAUUCCACCUGCCAUAUAAUCCAAUGGGGGCAGGCCUUAUUGAACGCUAUAAUGGUAUUCUUAUGACUGUUCUGAAGACAGACUCAGUCCCUGCAGGGGUGGACAAAGAGACUCUAUGAAACCCUGUGUGACCUAAAUGAAAUGCCUAGAGACAGCAGACCCAGUGCCUUGAAAAUGCUACAGACAACAUGGGCCUCCCUGCUUAAGAUCCAAAUGACAGGCACCUGAUCGAUAAUCAGGUAAGACCUCAAAUUGGCAAUGAAAAUAACUUUCUCCUCCCUGCCCCUGAGAAUCUAGAACCAGGAACCCAUAGAAGAAAAUGGCCUUGGAAGGUGCAAGUAAGACCAAAGUGGUGUGGCAUACUUGCACCUUGGGGGAGAUUAUUGGAGGUGGGAGGCUCGGUAGUUCCUCUGGUAAUCAGUACAUGGCCUUCUGACAUUGUGGUCAGCACUCCGGUGUUCAUUGGUAAGGGGACCCUCAUCAUGUCCCUGUGGCAGAUCAGGACUCCCCCUUUGGUGCCUGAUAUAGUUAUGCAGCUACAGAUAUCUGGCCAAUGGGUGUGGUACAGACGGCUGGGACAUAAACCCAGUGCAAGCCGAAGUGUUAACCCAGGAUAGGAAUAUGGCCUGUAUCUUGCCCUGGAGGGCAGACCUUCCCCUCCUGAUACCACUGAAACAUCUGUAUUACUCCCCGUGAGUAUUUUAGUCUCCAGGAUCACCGGAAGAAAUGAAAUGCCAUUGAAGUGUUUCACUGUCGCUGUGAGAUCAAGCAUGACACCGGGUGAUGGCCUCUAUAGAUGGAACAUAAGAUAGACCUGCACCAAACAACUGCAUGCCUCCAGUAACACCACUGAAUACUGGCUCAUGAAAGAACACAACCUUCGGCUGUGAAUCGACCAUUGAUCAUCUUGUGUCAACCUGCAUUGCGAUGGGCAGUUGUACAAGUAUCAUGGUGCAUCGGAUCUUUGUAUUAGGGAAGGCUCACCCUUCAACCAGCCCAAUCAUUGGUUCAUGCUGUGAACCUUAGAUCUCUUAGAUCUCAUUUCUUUGACCUUUUGGAUUGUAACAACCAGUAUAAUAAAACAGAAGGCAUUACUUUCAUAGCAGCCCUCAUACAAUCAGGCACAUUAGAGAUGCCUCCAUGCCAAACAGAAAAAUAGCACAGCCACACACGUUAUCACCACAGCUCCUGAAUUACUGAGAAGAUAAUUAAUGAUCACAGAAACAGACUUAAUCAUGGGAGAAUCUUCCUGAGAUCUGCUCUUCCUGACAAUAUUGUCAUGAGUUUACCAGUGACCAUGGCACUCCCAGCCUACAUUUACAAUAUCAGGAAAUAUCAGAAAAUGACAAUGUCUAGGAAAUUAAAUCGUGCUAGAUUGGAUUCGGGUUUUAGUUGUACAGUCAUAAAUCAGGAACAAUUGAUGGAUGGAGCCCAGUUCUGCUGCUCUGAAAUUAGUCGAUGAUAAGAAUUAAGUCCCUGUGGUUUGAUGGAUUGGUGCUUCCUGCCCUUCUGCUCCAGCACAGGGACACAGAAAGAACCAAGCGUCAAUGUUCGCUUCUGAGAAACAGGGAAUCUAAUACCCAUAAAUGCCAGCGGAAGGAUCUUCACACAAGGUAUUGCACAUAGGGCUCAGAUGAACAUCCUACUCCAAUCUCUUUUUUGAGAAUAACCGACUUGUUUAAGAAAGUACAUUUGUCAUUCAUCACAAAAUCAUUUCUGGGACAACCUUUGUUAGCUGCGAAGACAAAGAAUGAGUCCUUCAUCCUUAGUGCAGCAAGAUGAAAUUUGGUCUCUACAACUUAGAGAUUCUGGUGUCUCCUCCCCAGCUGUAACGGGGCCAAGCCAGCUUCUUUCUCUCCUGUAUUCCUUAUCCGAGAGGGUCCAACGUGAUGUGACAGCUGGUCAGGAGUGGUGGAGUAGAGUUGUUUAUGUUUCAGAUCAUUCAAGAGGCAUCAUGACUGAAAGUUCUUGCAUUCUAUUUAUUAUAUUAUUUCAAGUAGUACGUAUUUUAUAGAUCACAUCUCCUUUUAUAGAUCAUAUGAUAUUUAUAUACAUAUUCUAUUAUUCUAAUAUGAAUGCCUCCCUGAAAUCCAUAUGUGUUUCUCAGUCCCCUUUUCAGUAAUAAGAAAGCCCAAUCCCUUCCCACAUAGAGAAAUGCUACAUUUCAGUCUGUUGGUACCUGUAACACAUUGCUCUACCCCUGCGUCAUGUUUUUAACAGCCUGUAACCCAGGAUAAGUAGCUAGAGCAGCAGGCUAGGAGCUGGUACUGACAUGUGGACUUGGCUUUUUGCUGCAUUCAAGUAAAGUCUUUGCUCCUCUUUCACCCUAGCUUUAAUUGGUGUAAUUUGUGUAAUGAACUUCAAAGGUCAUAGCCUUUCCUGUAUUUUCUCAGCUCUUUCUGCUCAUCCAAAUUGUUGAUACAGCUUAGACCUCACAGUUGAGAUAUGGCAAUUUACACAUAGAAAUAAAUAUAUAAAUAAAAAUAAGGAAAAAUGAAAACAAAGGUGUGUAACUCUUACCUUUAUAGAAUAUCAGGGCAAGCAUCUGCUUCCAAAGCAAGAACAUUGUUUAACUAAAAAUGAGCACAUGGAAAUGAGUGUUUUUCUCCUAAUUACUGUGAAAAUAUGUGUUACUAAAGCUUUUCCUCAUUAACAUUUUCUCUUUGACUAGACAAUCAGGAAAGGAUAGUAUCUAUGUAAUAAAACUCACUUAUCACUGUUGCACAUUGUAUGAAAUACUUGCCACUGGAAGAGUAUUUUUUAUGUAUCCUCCACUCAGCAGCCAAAACUAUUUUUGAUCAGAUUUUUUUCUGCCCCAAAUUAAAAACAAUGUGAGCUAUUUUCCAUAAACCAAUGAAAUACAUCAUCCAAAGCUGUUCACCAUUCUUCAACAGAACAGACCAGGUGUAGCCUUUCUUAUUACAGUUUUGCUUCUGAAAGUGACUUCAUAAUAAAAGUUCUUGAAGAUUUUUAUGAAACUUAGGGAAAAGGGGAAGUGCUUGGCUCACUUCACUGUUAGUGAUGAAAAUCAAUGCCAGGACAAGCAUAACUUCAAAGAAUGCCUCAAGAACCCACUUUAUAAUAAAAAGACUAUGAAAGACACUCAAAUUCUUCAUCUGGGUAGGAAAAAAAAAAAUAGAAAGAAGGCAGAGAGUGAAAGGGAGAUUUCCUUUCACCAUACAAUGAGAGAUCACUUCACACUUUCCCUUGGUAUGUUAGAUGGUCAGUUGUAAAGCCAUGUUAUGUGAAUAGAUGGAGGUAAAGGAUCUCAACUUUCACUGGAACUGGGUGAUGCCUGGGAUGAUGGGCAAGACAGGGCCCCACCACAGGGGCUAACAGCACAACUCCCUGCAACCUGCUGGGCAGGCAGCAAUACUCACAAGAGAAUCUCAAUAGGUUCUCAGCAGACUGGCACCUAAAGCCUCAGACUUGUAUAGGCACUUCACAUUUAAGAGCAUGGCUAAUCCAAUCACCAGCAGAUUUGAAGCUGUGUACCUCUCAUAUAGCAUAUUUUUGUAGGCUUAAAGUCAAUCUUCUCAUCAGCCCUCCGUCUGUGCAAGCAGGCAGAUUCCUUCCUUGAACACACAGAAGUAACCCUCCUUACUCAGCCCAUCAAUUUAACAGCUUUAUACCUUCAAAUCAGUUAAAUGGAUGCAGCACAAGAAGGUCAGAGUAGUGUGGUGAGUGGUGGGAGGCAACUGUUCCAUGCUGGCAAAAAAAAAAGUCAUUCAGAAUGCUGAAGGCUCGGGUCAGUCUGUCUUUCAGAGAGCAGAGCAGACUGCACACGUGCAACCUACCAGUAAUUUCCCUUUCAUAUCCCACAGUCCUUGUUCCUGUUGGCUAACCAUUUCUGUCCAGUUGUAACCUCACGUUGUUAUACAUCCUUUUGCCUUGCAUUCAAUGGGCCCCCAUCAGCAUACCUGAACACGUGGUCUAUAUUAUUUCUGAUAUUGGUGUGAGUGGCGCAGCCAGGUCUGAUUUAGCCCCUGCCUGUGUCAGUACACAAUCUCACACAUACCCCUUCCUUUCUUUUGCUCAAGAGGCUGAAGCAAAAACAAAUGCAGAGGGUGCCAAGCACUCCUCAGAGAGAGCACUGACUAGGUAUGCCUCCUGCUUGAGUGCAAAACUGCCAGUUACAGAAGAGUGCAAUCUGAUCCAAGGAGGCUUUACAUUUAAUUUUGUUCUCAGCUAUCUGUUCUACAAAAUCCCAAAUGGAGUCUUCCUUCUUUCUUUAGUUUUACCAGUUCACAGGAUCCUUUAGCAUCCAACAUAACAGCAGUGCUUCCUGUGCUCUGGAAAUAGAACAGUCCUGAUAGGCAAGUCCCUUUUAGGGUGUCAAGGGGACCAUCAUGAAGCUGUGAGCUCCUAGCUUCUUGCCAACACUCUGAAUCAGUCCUAAACUCCAGGAAGAACCAGCAUCUGAAAACCCAGUGGAGACCACAGGGAGGUGUUUUUUUGGCUCUCCUUCAGCAUUUGCCCUGUCAUUGUUCACCUUAUGUGUGGAACAGACCUUGGAUGAGGUUUAAAUCACUUGUAUGAGUCCCACCUGAGUUCCCCUCUGUAGCUGCUUGAGGUUAAAUAGGACUAGAUGGCCCUUGUCUUCCAGGAUACUGCAGUCUUUGAUGUGUCUUUGACAUUUUCACACAGCCUAUUUGUUACGUUUAACAUGUUCUUUUCUGUCCGGUUCUCUUAGAAUUUUUUUUGUAUGUUUUUUUUUUCUUUGAACUUGCAUGUGUCAGUGAAGAUUUUGUGCUAACAAAAAAAAAUCUCUUAAGUUUUCAAGUGUCAUCAGGCUGCAAACUUUGGGAUUGCCUUUGGUGAUGCAGAUCUGGGCUCUGCUACUAAAACAGGAAGACAGAUGUCUUCAUCAUUCUGAACCAAAAUUUAAAGUUGAAGUGGAGAAGAAAGAGGAUUUGCAGUGAGUGUUUCCUCUCUCCUCUCCACUUAAGACCAAAAUGAACUUCUCUAAAGAGAUCACAGUACUUUGAUCUAGUAGAUAAAUUUUGAUUUGGGCAGAGGACAGCACUUAGAAGCAGGCACUCCCAGCUGCUGGCAUGCUGUUAACUUGAUGUGUCCUGAGGAAUUCAGAAAGUGAUAACACUGCACUUAGACUAGAAAAAUCAACAAAACCAAAACAGGUUCCCCAACAUCAGGAUUAAAUCAUUGAAGGAAAAGAGAUAGUUAUUACUUGUAGGUGAUUCCUCUCUGCAGAGAACUGAAUGCCUGAUAUUAUGAGCAGAUCCUCUUGGAGAAGUCUGCUGCCUCCAUGGAACUUACGUGAAGGAUGUCACCAGGAAACUACCCAGCCUGGUAUAACUGACAGACCUCUACCCUUUACUGCUUUUCCAUGUGGGGAGUGAUAAAGCAGCUACACAUGGGUUUAGGGCAACCAAGAGGGUCUUCAGGGCCUUGAGAUGCUGGCUGAAGGAUUUGAGAGUACAGAUGAUCUUUUCUUCUCUGCUUCUUGUAUUGGGUAAGGGCAUUGAAACUGAUGAGAGGAUGUUAUCUUUAAAUACCUGGCUUUGUGGCUAGUGCCACUGCCAGAACUUUGUUUUUUUCUUUACAACCAAAUGGCCUACAAGGCACCAGGUUUGUGGGUACUGGAUGGAGUUCACCUUUCUUCUUGGGAAAAAGCUAGUCGGGUUCAUUGGGAGGGCUUUAAACUAAGUCUGAACAGGACAGGAGGGACAGAGAGUCUUUGCAUGAUAUUGCAUAACUAUUUUAGAGGGACAGGAUGUUAGCAGAGGCCCUUGAUCUGCUCCCAUGAGAGGUGCUGGCAACACUGCAGCACAUAUGAAAUUCUAUGAUGAUGAGGCAGGUACUGCUGGGGCAAUAGAAGGCAAUGAGGAAACUCAAGAAAUACUGAAAAAGAAUGAAUACUUAAAAUAAACCUCUAGGAAGGUGACAAGGCCUGCUGCUCAGCUGAAGUGCCUCUACUCCAAUGUAUGCAGCUUGGAAAACAAACAGGAGGAGCUGGAAGCCACUGUGCUACCAGAAAACCGUGAUAUAGUUGUCAACGAAACCUUGUGGAAUGAUUCCCAUGACUGAGUGUGGCUAUUGAUAGCCACACGCUUUUUGGAAGGAACAGACAAGGAAGGAGAGGAUGGGGUCUACGUGAGGAGGCUGUCUACAUCAGGAAAAGAACAGAAUGUGAAGAGCUGUCCCUAGAAGGCCAUCAUGAGCAAGUCAAAAGCCUAUGGGUGAUAGUUGGAGAUUGAGGCAGCAAAGGGAGCAUUGUGGCUGGUGUUUACUACAGACUACCUGAUCAAGCAGAGCCUGUCAAUGAAGCCUUUUAACUCCAGUUACAGGAGGUGUUGCAAUCGCAAGUGCUUGUCCUUCUGGGGGGCUUCAACCUCCCAGACAUCUGCUGGAAAAGUAGCACACCAAGCUGUAGGCGAUCCAGAAAGCUUCUGGAAUGCAUUGAGGAUAACUUAUUUAGCCAAUUAAUAGAUGGCCCCACCAGGGGGGAUGCAAUACUGGACGUAUGUUGCUCACCAAUGCAAAUGAAAUGAUUGGUGACAUCUGGAUGAGAGGCUGCCUGGGCUGUAGUGAUCAUGCUAUGGUGGAGUUCAUGCUCCUGAGGGAUAUGAGACAGUCAAAAAGUAAAAUUGGGACGCAAAAUUUUAGGAAAGCUAACUUCAGGGAGUUAGUAGACAAAGCCCCCUCGGAAACUGUCCUCAUGGGCAAGGGUGCAGAGCAGAGCUGACAGAUCUUUAUGGAGGCUUUCUUAAGGGUGCAAGAGCUCUCCAUCCCCAGGUGUAGCAAAUCAGGAAAGGAAGGCAAGAGACCAGCAUGGCUGAACUGGGACCUGCUGGUCAAACUGCAUAGCAAGAAGGAAAUGCACACACAGUAGAACCAGGGACAGAUACCAUGAGAAGAAUAUAAGGAAGCUGCUUAGGCUAUGUAGAGAUGGGGUCAGGAAAGCCAAAGCCCAGCUUGACCUGAGCUUGUCAAGGGGUGCCAAAAAGAACAAUAAAGGCUUCUACAGAUACCUCAACCAGAAAAGGAAAGUCCAAGGGGGUGUAACCCCUUCAGUGAGUGACAAAGGCAAGCUGGUAACAACAGACAAGAAAAAGUCUGAGAUACUCAACAACUUUUUUGCCUUGAUCUUCUCUGAUAACUGCUCAUCACACAGCCCUCAAAUUAAUGGUUUGGAAGGAGGGGACUGGGGAAGCAAUGCUGUGAGUGAAGAUCAGGUUUGUAAUCACUCAAGGAAGAGGAAUAUCCACGAGUCUAUGGGUCCUGAUGAGGUGCAUCCCAGUGUGCAGAGGGAAUUAGCUGAUGUAGUCACCAAGACACUCCCAGUGAUAUCUGAAGUCAUGGCAGUCAGAUGAAGUACCUGGUGACUGGAAAAAAGGCAACAUCAUACCCAUUUUUAAAAAGGAUAAAAAGGAUGAGCCAGGGAAUUAUCAACUUGUCAAUAUCACCUGCAUGCUGGGAAAGAUCAUGGAGCAGAUCCUCCUGGAAGCUAUGCUAAAGCACAUAGAAGACAGGGAGGUGGUACAGGAGAACCAGCAUGUCUUCACCAAAAGGCAAGUCCUACUUGACCAACCUAGUGGCCUUCUGUGGUUGUGUAACUGCAUCAGUGGACAAAGAAAGAACCACCGAUGUCAUCUAUUUGGACUUCAGUAAGGCCUAUGUCAUGGCAUCCCACAACAUCUUUAUCUCCAAAUUGGAAAGAUAAUGGAUUUGAUGGAUGGACUGUUCAAUAGAUGAGGAACUUGCUGCAGGAUCAAACCCAGAGAGUGGUGGUCAAUGGAUCAAUGUCUGGAUGGAGAUCUGAGCCGAGUGGUGUCCCUCAGGGUCAGUGCUGGGAUUGAUACUCUUUAAUAUCUUUUUCAGUGACACUGACAGUGAGAUUGAGUGCAUCCUCAGAAAGUCUGCAAAUGACACUAAGGUGUAGGGUGUAGUUGACAUGCCAGAGGGACAGGAUGCCCUCCAGAGGGAUCUAGAUAGGCUCAAGCAGUGGGCCCAGGAGAACUUCAUUAAGUUCCACAAAGCCAAGUGCAAGGUUGUGCACCUGGGUCAAGACAACCCCCUCUACCAAUACAAGCUGGGGGAUGAAAGGAUUGAGCACAGUCUUGCCAAAAAGGACCUGGGGGUACUGGCGGAUGGCAAGCUGGACGUGACUAGCAACGUGCCUUCGCAGCCCAGAAAGCCAACUGUAUCCUUAACUGCAUCUAAAGAAGUGUGGUCAGUAAGUUGAAGGAGGUGAUCCUGCCCCUCUACUCUGCACUGAUGAGAUCUCACCUGGAGUACUGUGUCCAGGUGUGGAGUCCUCAGUACAGGAGAGACAUGGACCUAUUGGAGCGUGUCUAGAGGAGGGCCACAAAAAUGAUCGAGAGGAUGGAAUACCUCUCCUACAAGGACAGACUGAGAGAGCUGGGGCUUUUCAGUGUGGAGAAGGCUCCGAGCUGACCUGAGAGCAACCUUUAAAUAUCUAAAGGGCAGCUAACAGGAAAGAAGGGGACAGACUCUUUAGCGGGGUCUGUGGUGACAGAACAAGGGGAAGUGGUUUCAAACUAAAAGAGGGGAGAUUUAGGUUAGAUAUGCAGAAGAAGAGAUGGCAAGGCACUUGAGCACAUUGCCCAGAGACGUGGUGGAAACCCCGUUCCCAGACAGAUUCAAGAGCAGGCUGGACCAGAUUCUGAGCAACUUGAUCUAGCUGUAGAUAUCCUUGUUCACUGCAGGGAGUUGGAGCACAUGUCUUUUCAAGGUCCCUUCCAACUCUAAAGAUUCUACGAUUCGAUGAUGUGCAAGCAAGAUCCAAGAUUCUCUGAAAUCAUUGGCAUCCCUUCUGUUGACCUCAUGUGACUUUGGAUUAUACCUUGAAUUUUCAAAGGAGACAGACUUUUAAAACUGUUUGGAGGAUGAAAAGGCCAGACAAAAGUUCCUGCGUGAUGUUUAGGGCUACAUCUUAAUUUUUCCAUUAUGCUUAUCAGCAGUGUAUAUCAUCAGUAGGUAGUGACAGAGACGAAGACGCUAUGUUUUUGUAGUAGACCAGUGUUUAUCUUUCAAUAAAAAUAAUUUCUUCAGCUUAAUUUCUCAUACUGUCCUCUAUGUUGGUACAGUAAGAUCAAGUAUUCUCUUGCCCUAAAAAGUGGUAUUUGAUAGAAAAUAGCAGAAAAUUUGGACAGUGUACCUUCAGCUAAUUACGUCAGUGGUAGUGAUAUUCAACUGCCAUGGGGCAAUUUGCUGGAAAAAGAAUGAGAAGAACUGCACAUCAAAGGCCAUCAGUGUGAGGAUAAAGCCUACAGUGAGAAGGCAGAAGAUCCAAACUAUGGGGGGAGUGGGCUGUGUAGAGCAGCUGGCUGGGAGAGGGCAAGCAAGAAUGCAUGGAGAGGGAAAGUCUAAUACUGGACUCAGAGUGAAAGUGACAGCAAGGAUGCUAAGGUAGAAAGGUAUUUAGCUGGGGAGUCAUUUGAAGUGGUAUUCCUCUUCUUUUCUUUGGCUCUUGCUUCUUGUUACCACUACCCUGUGGGAUCCCAUGGGUCAGCUGAAAGGGGGAACAAACCUGACUGAAAAUGAAUCAUUUUGUGCCCUCCAAGUGUAGCUGUCAAUGGAUCAGACACAGACCUGACUCCCACACAGGUCUUCAAGCAGUGAUGCCUGAACAGCGGGAUGGUACAGUGCAACCAGGGGCUGCUAUCAAUGGUAGUCAGGGACAUCCACAUUCCUACGUUUCACAUACUCCUUCUCUUUGAAAGUAUUAAGGCUAAAACUGCUUACAGAUUGUGAAAUGUGAAAACCUUCCUACUCAUGGGGCUUUAUCCCAGCUAAGAGCUGACCUGGGAUGCGUAUGGCCGCAAGCAGCCUUUUCACAUGUCUCUUGGGUGUUGCUGCUUCUGCCUGAGUCUGUAACUACCCCCUAAGGAGGGAGAGGACAAGAAGCUCUGCACUUUUGAGGCCAUACAAUAGUUAAAAAGGAAUUUAAACUGAAUUCAGUCACUUCUGCCCUGAGUUACCUUUUGCUAGGAGGUCUUUGCCUCACUCAGAGAGGCACGGUGACACUGUUGAAUCUCUCUGCCUUUUUCUCAGGAUGCUGCUUUUAAUAGGAGCUCUGAUGUAAAGAGGUGUGAGCCAAAUGUCCCACACCCAGCCUGAUACACCUAAUUCGCUGUUUAGUGCUUCACUGGGCUCCAUAUAGUGCUGAUCUACUCUUUGCUCUUAAUGCUUCCUACCUUGGACUUAGCUGUUAGCUGUGAGCAUACCUGGAGAUAGAUCACACAGAACACUGAGCACUCCUUCCCUGAAAACAAAAGCUGAAGUGACCCAGGCCAGGCCAAGAGAAGGUAUCCAUGAGGCAGCUGCAGUGGUUCUGCCUACCACUAUGUGCCAGCACAAGCAAGCAAAUUCCAAGAAGAUACUGUCAGCAGCUCUGUGAAUACAGGAGAGUGGUUACAAGCACUAUCUGCCUCAAAGACAGAAGAAACCACAGACUGACUGCAGCCUCACCUUAUGCUUUCUGAUACAUUUGCUGAUGUACUGUAGUACCUGCACGUAGGUAGUUGUGAAAACAAACAUGCAGAUAGAUGCAAAGGCCAUCUGGCCAGGUAAAACAGCCUGUGUUUUAGCAUGCAUGUAAUAACACUCACAUACAAAGGAGAAAGAUGUUUAUUCCUCAAAGCUGUUAUGUAUUGUGUUCUGGGAGAGAAAAAUUUGCUAGGACUGUUUUGCCCCAGCAUGGGCCCCAUAGUUUUACACACUGACUCAAAGGGCAACUCAGGCAAGUCGAUUUCAUAAUUCAGAAGAUUUCCCCCAUUUUUCUCUUUACAUUUUCUCAAUUUUAAUAAUCACCUUGUGCUCAAAUUUCAGACUGUUUGCCUGAAAAAGAGAGAGCAUGUGCUUGCAAAUAUUCCUGCCUGGUUAGUAAAUGAUAAAAUUAACAAGCUUGACUGCUUGAAAAGUGCUCUGCAGUUGAACAUUUCCUAUUCAAUUAACUGUUCGAGGGACAGAUUCUCCAUCUAGUCAAAUGUCCAUUUAUUGUCCAACUGGAAAUGAUGGGAGUUGGGUGGGAUGGUGAGAGGCAAAGAGAAAAUAUUAUGGAUACCUUCCUGUUCAUUCUAUACCAGUGCUUCAUGAGCUGUUUUACCAGCUGAAGUUACAUGUUCCCACCAUAUCUCUUCACCACUCUGUCGUACCCUUGUUUCCAGAGCUGAAGGGAAGGGAAUGGCUCUGAGCUUCAAUCCCACUACUCCAUCCUUCCACAGUAUGAAAAAGCCACAACAACAUGCAGAAUCUGGCCUCUCUUAUCAAUAUCUGAGAUUCUGUGUUUUCAUUAUCAAAUGGUUUUAUUGAAGCUUGGGAUUUGCCAUGGAGGGUGUUCUUUAAAAAUCUGCCAAGUUUACUUUUGAAAAAACAGAUAACCUUACCUUGUUGUUUGUGGUAUUCCUUGUGCUGCAUUUCCCACUUCAGUGGAAGGCUGCUGAGGAUGUUUAGGCAAAGGCUAAGAUAAAUGUACUUCAAUAUCAAAAUAAACAACAGAGGGUAAUGGGCAGCUUAUAUUAUUCAUGCUUAUACUGGAUUGUAGUUUGGGUUUAAAAAGAGCUCUCCCAGAGCUUUUAUCCAGUGACUCCAAAGUUCAGAAGGAUCAAGUCAGCUCUGUCAUGAAUAAUGACUGAUAUUGUCUGUGUGCACACGUGGUUUUGAGCACAGUACUCUAAAAUUACAGCAGGCUGAAGCCUGUGCUGCUAAGAGCUGUUCAGCUUCCCACCACUCCUCAUGUUCUCCGAGUGUCCUAGGAGCACUGCACCUCCUUCAAGGCAGACAGUGGGACUGCCAUUGUUCUUAGCACUGGAAAUGGUCGGAGUGUCUGCAUCUGGAGUAGAGUCAUCCUUGGCUACACAGAAUCUGUCUCCUGCUUGGGGCUGCUCUGCACAGCUGGAGGAGGAAGAGCUGAUGAUUUUCUACCACAUGAGAGCUCUCAUUCCAGAAGAUAGACACUAACUUUCUUGGUCAAGUCCAUGUGUACUAUUUUGGAAUGCCUUUCUAUCCAGGCAUAUUUUCUGUAAGGGCAGCUAAUGAAGACAGUCAUAGGGAAAUGAUGAUUUCACUGUAAUGAUGUAGAAGAGAGAACAUACAUGUAUUCAUGUGCAGAUGAUGAAGAUAAAGAAGUUACACAAAGUCUCUCUUUUGAGAUGGUAGCAUGUUGCCAGCAAAUAAUAAAUAAUAGCAACUGUAGAGUAAUUCUUCCACAGGAAAAUUUAUCCACCACAAAAAUUACCAUAACUAUUCACCACCCUCUGGUCUGGCAGAGCAAAAGCCAGAAGCUUAACAUUCUGCAUAAGGGGAAAAAAGAAAUUCUCCAGGGCAGACUUUUAGUGGUCAGAAUGGGUCGUGGUUUUCCUGCUCUGAAGUGCAAUGCAAAGAAUGAAGAUCAGAGUUAGCCAACUGAUUUUUCAGGCAUAAAGUCUGAGAAGAGCAGAUAUGAAAUCCUGGAUGUUUAAUCUUCAAUUCCAUGUUUUUCUUGCUCCCAUGUAUUUGUUACAUCAGGAGAUUAUGACCAUCCUAAAUCUACCAUCCUAGAAUAAACAACACAAGGCGUAACUGUCUCAGAGAACAAAAUUAAGACAAGAUUGCUAAUUUGAGCCAAAUUUUGGUGGAGAGAUUCACUGCUUCAUAGGUAAGUGAACAGAUAAAACAUACAAUGCUGCUGGUUCAUUAGGGCACAUAACAUAAACUGUUCUAUGGCCUGAUCCUGCAACUCCUAAGGGAUACAAUCUGAGGCCUCAAGUGUCCUGUUCACACUGAAUGGCCCUCAAAGAAGCACCUGAUGUGAGACAUUAGUCUUUACAAUCUAAAGCAAAACUGAGAAAAAACAGUUGCAGAGUUCUGGAAGCAUCAGUGCAAAACACAGCUGUACAAAAUGGGUUCAUGUUUGAUCUUUCUAAGAAGGCACUAAGCAGAUAGUUUACUACUUCCUGACAGACUGAGUGGCUGGCACUACAGGUAUUACCUUUGUCCUGUAUUUCUCUGUUGCCAUAUCCAAAUGUUGAUAGUGUGAUGCUAUUCUACUGCAGGAGAAAGCAGGAGGCAGCAGGGUUCUCUGCUGUGCCUCAGCUCCACAGGGCAGAAUUAAUUCUUACCAGCUUAUCCCUUUGCUUAUACAGACGUAAGUCUGCUGGUCUCAGAGAAUAACUCUGCCAGCUCCAAAUCAAGCCUGCUGACCUCAAUGACUAUAUCUUAGACCACAGCAUUGCUGGUGUUGUAGACACUACAGGAUUCAGUGGUGAUAACCUGCUGGAAUUUCUGACAUGGGAAAACCUUCUGUAUUUUAGGGAAUACCACAUAGGUUUAGCUGAUAUGGAAAUAACUUUAAGAAGUCCCUUUCUCUUUUCCUUGUGAUUGUCAGAGAAUCCGGGAAUCUCUCACAGUAUGCUUCUCCAAGAAGCAUGAAACUUCAUUUCAAGGCAGUAUUCUUUUAAGAACAUCUGGCAACUUCUUACAGAGAGAGUUGGCCUUGGUUUUGCAUCCUAGGUCUGUUGUCACAUUAUAGAGAAACUAGUCUCUGUGCUUCUGGAAUUUAAUUGUAUUUCUGCUGAUAAUGAACACUGGUGUUUCUAAAAAUAUGAAAUCUGUGCUGCAGUCCUAGGUAUUCUAGGUAUUAGUCCCUUUGGCGAGAAUGAUAAACAGGACAGAACUUGGAAGAUUUUACUUCUGAAUUAAUUCAAGGAAACUACCUCCAAAACCAGUUCUACUGAACUAGCACAGUCAAGUGUCUGAAAGUGAGGAACCAACAAAUUCUGAUUGUCCCAACCACCUUAAUUCUACUUGCUUGGGAGUAUGAAAAACAGAACAAUAUUUGGCAACAAGAUCUCUCUUACCCUAGAAUCUCAGUCUCUCCGGCACACAGCUUGAGAGGACAAGGAAGGAGAUUUGUUAUUCAUUAUUAUUGUACUAAUUGUUGAUAUCCCCCUGACACAAACAAUUUAGAGAAUUCCAAGUAUUAUGCAGCUCUCCUGCCAGAUCAUAAUAGACUGACACAACUAUAACUACCUAUUUAAGAAGAUUAGCCAGAUUUUAUUUGCCUAAGAAUUUAAAGUGACAAAACCACUUACAACAUCCAGGAAAUGAUCACUAAAAAUUAAUUACUGCACAUUCUUUUAUUAGCUUAAUAUGUAUGUGUCAGUCUAUACAUAAAACAUCGAACACUCAGGCAUCAGACUAAAGCAGCUAUGAAUUGGUAGGCGUCAUUCACUGUUGAGUUCCCUUCGAGUCCUGCUGGCAGCAAUGAGGAGCCCUCCAGGCUUUAUUUUCUAUUUGUGCUGCAGCCUUCUGUUAAAAGGAGGUUGGUUGGUUGCAGAGGAUAAUCUCUCUCAGCAGCUCGGGUUUCAGCACAUAAGUGAGAGCAAGGAAGGGAUGAGAGGAAACACAAAAGAGCAGGUAGAAAACUCAUCUCUGUGUGAAACCUCAGCCACUUUUCUUAUUGAUAAUUUUUUGCACCACACUAACAGUCAGAGGCACCUCCCAAGUUCACUGACGUGCUGUGCCAGGGAGGAGAUUCAGAAUUCUCACCACUCGCCCAAUGACAAGGAUUAAAUUGCCCACGAGCUUUUAGCCUACAGACCCCCACGUCCAAACCAACCGGUGUUUCUCUUCCGUCCUCCGCCG